GGGCACUUGGCACAGUGGUAGCGCGCACGCUUCGCAAGAGUGCAAGAAAUCUAUGCGUGAGGUCCAGGGUUCAAUCCCCUGAGUGUCCA
rnacentral:tRNA from 1 species